UACGAAGGGUGCAAGCGUUACUCGGAAUUACUGGGCGUAAAGGGUGCGUAGGCGGUUGUUUAAGUCUGUUGUGAAAGCCCCGGGCUCAACCUGGGAAUGGCAAUGGAUACUGGACAGCUAGAGUGCGGUAGAGGGUAGUGGAAUUCCCGGUGUAGCAGUGAAAUGCGUAGAGAUCGGGAGGAACACCAGUGGCGAAGGCGGCUACCUGGACCAGCACUGACACUGAAGCGCGAAAGCGUGGGGAGCAAACAGG
rnacentral:rRNA from 1 species